AUUAGGAGUUUUUUUUAAAAAUCUAACGUCAAAUUCGUUUUCUCGUGUGUAAAUACCUCUAGAUACCGAGUUUCAAACAAAUCCAUGUGCAAAUAGCCGAGAUGCCAAUUUUCGGCCAUUUGAACUUUAACCGGCCGCCAUUUUGAAACGGCUUAAGAUAAUGAUUUCGGGUUUGCGCAAAAAAUUUAUUUUUUUAUAAGUAGCUUUUAAGUAGCUUCCUUGGCCUAGGAACAUCCUCCAAGUUUCAAAUCUCCAUCUCAAUUAGGUAAUUAGGUCAGAUGGGGGGAAGGGGACUUUUCUAACACCCUGUAUAAAAACAUGUUUUAAAUAUCUAGUCUAGUAUGUAAUUAAACAAAAUACAGUGGCGGCUCGCUAAUUCAAAACUCAAGGGACCGAGCGUUUUUUUUCAUAUUAACGGUUUUUCGAAAUUUCGAAUUAUUGAGAGCAGCAACAAGGAAAAUUCGAAUUAACGGGUUUUCAAGCCAGCUCUGUAAUUCGAAGUAAUGGGCCCAAAACGCUCUAUAAUUCGAAAUUAUGGGACGAUAGAAAAUAAAAUAUGUCUGUACAAGUUUUUUAAGGGCGAGAACAGGGACCCACCUCUCGCUAGAGUGGGGUUUUUAUUACAUAUGAGAAAUUCUUUUAGAUCAAAACAACACCGCCGCGACAGAUUUCGAAUUACAGAGCGUUUCGGUCCGGCUCCUUCGAAUUAUAGAGCAGUUUGCCGAGCCGCUCAACCGCUGAAAAAUUCGAAUUAGCGAGGGGAGACAAAUACAUUGAUUUUUUUCGAAAUAACGGGAUCUUCUCACGGGGAUCGACAUCGCCUUCGAAUUAACGAGAUUUUCGAAUUAACGGGUUUCGAAUUAGCGAGCGGCCACUGUAGUUGAAUUAAAUAUUGUUUUACUUAUUUUAGUGUAAAUUAGAUUACUUGUUGUUAGUUUUUUUAGCAUUUUCAAAGGAAACAAGUACCUACAUGGGAUAUUCCAAAACAUUUGACAUCAAACUUGGUUUAAUAAAAAUUCACCUCUUAAGGACAGCACAAAACUAAUUAACUUUAAAAUUUCCGGACUCACUUGCACACUAAUUUUCACGAUCAGAUGGACUCAUUUUAAGGACUCUACCCUCAUCAUCAGUGAUUUUCAGUGUCCAUUGCAUCGUUAAGAUUAAUAAGCAAGUUAGUCCAAAAAUCUCUAUAUUUAAAGUUACUGGUUUGAUACAAUUAUGCCAGGGUUUGAAAAGCAGUUCAUGGGAGGUUUUAGUCCAUAUUCUUAACUUUAAAAUGAGACCUUGUUCAGCAGAUGUGGUCAGAAAUCCAUUUUUAGAAUCUUAAAAUUAUGAUGAUGAUUGCUUUUUUAUUCAUUAUCCCAUCUCGAUGUCCACUAUCAUGAAAUUUUGUUUUUCAGACUGGAGGAAGGACUCAAAUACCUUGAACUCUGCAAAGCAGAUGGCAGUUAUACAGGUUCAGUAAGCUAUUCAGCUUUGAUUGAAACAGCAGCAUCCCUGAAGAAAUUUGAUAUGCCUUAAAACUGUUCGAGGAUUGUUAUGAGAGUGACAGAGUUAUCGAAAGUAAAGCAGUAGUUGUCUUCAUCACCGAAUGUUCAGAUGCUGGUAAGGCAUCGUAUA
rnacentral:lncRNA from 1 species